rnacentral:sRNA from 1 species
AACCAAAACAACAAUAUGGCCGACCGAGU